rnacentral:tRNA from 1 species
GAUGAUGUGGCUGACUAAGGCGGCGGAUUGUAAAUCUGUUUAUAAUUUAAUUAUUCGUCAUUA